rnacentral:rRNA from 1 species
CACGUAAGAGGCUAGCGUUAUUCGUCAUUAAUGGGUCUAAAGGGUGCGUAGGCGGGUCUUUAAGUCAGGGGUGAAAUCCUGGAGCUCAACUCCAGAACUGCCUUUGAUACUGAGGAUCUUGAGUUCGGGAGAGGUGAGUGGAACUGCGAGUGUAGAGGUGAAAUUCGUAGAUAUUCGCAAGAACACCAGUGGCGAAGGCGGCUCACUGGCCCGAUACUGACGCUGAGGCACGAAAGCGUGGGGAGCAAACAGG